rnacentral:rRNA from 1 species
CAGCCACACUGGAACUGAGACACGGUCCAGACUCCUACGGGAGGCAGCAGUGGGGAAUAUUGCGCAAUGGGCGAAAGCCUGACGCAGCAACGCCGUGUGAGUGAUGAAGGCCCUCGGGUCGUAAAGCUCUGUCAGCAGGGAAGAUGGGAAAUGAGUCUAAUACAUUCAAUUUUUGACGGUACCUGCAAAGAAAGCACCGGCUAACUCUGUGCAAGCAGCCGCGGUAACACAGAGGGUGCAAGCGGUGUUCGGAAUUAUUGGGCGUAAAGCGCGCGUAGGCGGCUACAUAAGUCUGACGUGAAAGCCCGGGGCUCAACCCCGGAAGUGCAUCGGAAACUGUGUAGCUAGAGUCCCGGAGAGGAUGGUGGAAUUCCAGGUGUAGAGGUGAAAUUCGUAGAUAUCUGGAGGAACAUCAGUGGCGAAGGCGGCCAUCUGGACGGUGACUGACGCUGAGGUGCGAAAGCGUGGGGAGCGAACAGGAUUAGAUACCCUGGUAGUCCACGCCGUAAACGAUGGAUACUAGCCGCAGCGGGUAUUGACCCCUGCUGUGCCGUAGCUAACGCAUUAAGUAUCCCGCCUGGGAAGUACGGCCGCAAGGCUAAAACUCAAGGAAUUGACGGGGGCCCGCACAAGCGUGGAGCAUGUGGUUUAAUUCGACGCACGCGAGACCCUACCUAGGCUGACAUGAUAGAUCCCUCAUACCGAAGGAGUGCCCCUCGGGGCAUGGAAAACAGGUGCUGCAUGGCGGUCGUCAGCUCGUGUCGUGAGAUGUUGGGUUAAGUCCCGCAACGAGCGCAACCCCUAUCCUUAGUUACCAACAGUUCGGCUGGGGACUCUAGGGAGACUGCCGGUGUUAAACCGGAGGAAGGUGGGGAUGACGUCAAGUCCUCAUGGCCCUUACGCCUAGGGCUACACACGUGCUACAAUGGCGACCACAGAGCGCUGCGAACCCGCGAGGGGGAGCCAAUCGCAAAAAGGUCGUCCCAGUUCGGAUCGUAGUCUGCAACUCGACUGCGUGAAGUCGGAAUCGCUAGUAAUCGCGUGUCAGCAUAACGCGGUGAAUACGUUCCCGGGCCUUGUACACACCGCCCGUCACACCAUGGGAGUCGAUUGCUCCAGAAGUCGGUGAGCUAACCUUCGGGAGGCAGCCGCCUAAGGAGUGGUCGGUAACUGGGGUGAAGUCGUAACAAGGUAACC